AACGAACGCUGGCGGCAUGCCUAACACAUGCAAGUCGAACGAGACCUUCGGGCCUAGUGGCGCACGGGUGCGUAACGCGUGGGAACCUGCCCUUAGGUUCGGAAUAACUCCCCGAAAGGGGUGCUAAUACCGGAUAAUGUCUUCGGACCAAAGAUUUAUCGCCUUUGGAUGGGCCCGCGUUGGAUUAGUGAGUUGGUAGGGUAAAAGCCUACCAAGGCGACGAUCCAUAGCUGGUCUGAGAGGAUGAUCAGCCACACUGGGACUGAGACACGGCCCAGACUCGUACGGGAGGCAGCAGUGGGGAAUAUUGGACGGUGGGCGAAAGCCUGAUGCAGCAAUGCCGCGUGAGUGGUGAAGGCCUUAGGGUUGUAAAGCUCUUUUACCCGGGAUGAUAAUGACAGUACCGGGAGAAUAAGCUCCGGCUAACUCCGUG
rnacentral:rRNA from 1 species